UUAAGCGAAUAAGCGUACACGGUGGAUGCCUAGGCAAUCAGAGGCGAUGAAGGACGUGCUAAUCUGCGAAAAGCGUCGGUAAGGUGAUAUGAACCGUUAUACCCGACGAUAUCCGAAUGGGGAAACCCAGUAUCCAAUGGAUACUAUCAUUAACUGAAUCCAUAGGUUAAUGAGGCGAACCGGGAGAACUGAAACAUCUCAGUACCCCGAGGAAAAGAAAUCAACCGAGAUUCCCCUAGUAGCGGCGAGCGAACGGGGAGCAGCCCAGAGUCUUAAUCAAUAGCAGUGUCAGGAGAACGGUCUGGAAAGUCCGGCAGUAAAGGGUGAUAGCCCCGUAUCUGAAGAUGCUGUUAUUGUGAACUCGACGAGUAGGGCGGGACACGUGUUAUCCUGUCUGAAUAUGGGGGGACCAUCCUCCAAGGCUAAAUACUCCUGAUUGACCGAUAGUGAACCAGUACCGUGAGGGAAAGGCGAAAAGAACCCCGGCGAGGGGAGUGAAAAAGAACCUGAAACCGUGUACGUACAAGCAGUAGGAGCCUCUUUAUGGGGUGACUGCGUACCUUUUGUAUAAUGGGUCAGCGACUUAUAUUCUGUAGCGAGGUUAACCGUAUAGGGGAGCCGUAGGGAAACCGAGUCUUAACUGGGCGAAUGAGUUGCAGGGUAUAGACCCGAAACCCGGUGAUCUAUCCAUGGGCAGGUUGAAGGUUGGGUAACACUAACUGGAGGACCGAACCGACUAAUGUUGAAAAAUUAGCGGAUGACUUGUGGAUGGGGGUGAAAGGCCAAUCAAACCGGGAGAUAGCUGGUUCUCCCCGAAAGCUAUUUAGGUAGCGCCUCGUGAACUCAUCUUCGGGGGUAGAGCACUGUUUCGACUAGGGGGUCAUCCCGACUUACCAACUCGAUGCAAACUGCGAAUACCGAAGAAUGUUAUCACGGGAGACACACGGCGGGUGCUAACGUCCGUCGUGAAGAGGGAAACAACCCAGACCGCCAGCUAAGGUCCCAAAGUCAUGGUUAAGUGGGAAACGAAGUGGGAAGGCUCAGACAGCCAGGAUGUUGGCUUAGAAGCAGCCAUCAUUUAAAGAAAGCGUAAUAGCUCACUGGUCGAGUCGGCCCGCGCGGAAGAUGUAACGGGGCUAAACCAUGCACCGAAGCUGCGGCAGCGACACGUAGUGUUGUUGGGUAGGGGAGCGUUCUGUAAGCCUGCGAAGGUGUACUGUGAGGUAUGCUGGAGGUAUCAGAAGUGCGAAUGCUGACAUAAGUAACGAUAAUGCGGGUGAAAAACCCGCACGCCGGAAGACCAAGGGUUCCUGUCCAACGUUAAUCGGGGCAGGGUGAGUCGACCCCUAAGGCGAGGCUGAAAAGCGUAGUCGAUGGGAAACGGGUUAAUAUUCCCGUACUGGUGGUAACUGCGAUGGGGGAACGGAGAAGGCUAGGUUGUCCGGGCGACGGUCGUCCCGGUUCAAGCAGGUAGGCAGAGUGAUUAGGCAAAUCCGGUCACUUAAUGCUGAGAUGUGAUGACGAACCACUAAGGUGGUGAAGCAAUUGAUGCCCCGCUUCCAGGAAAAGCCUCUAAGCUUCAGGUUACCAACAAUCGUACCCCAAACCGACACAGGUGGUCAGGUAGAGAAUACUCAGGCGCUUGAGAGAACUCGGGUGAAGGAACUAGGCAAAAUGGUGCCGUAACUUCGGGAGAAGGCACGCUGGCGGUAGGUAAAGUCCCUCGCGGACGGCGCUGAAGCCAGUCGAAGAUACCAGCUGGCUGCAACUGUUUAUUAAAAACACAGCACUGUGCAAACACGAAAGUGGACGUAUACGGUGUGACGCCUGCCCGGUGCUGGAAGGUUAAUUGAUGGGGUUAGCCGUAAGGCGAAGCUCCUGAUCGAAGCCCCAGUAAACGGCGGCCGUAACUAUAACGGUCCUAAGGUAGCGAAAUUCCUUGUCGGGUAAGUUCCGACCUGCACGAAUGGCGUAAUGAUGGCCAGGCUGUCUCCACCCGAGACUCAGUGAAAUUGAACUCGCUGUGAAGAUGCAGUGUACCCGCGGCAAGACGGAAAGACCCCGUGAACCUUUACUAUAGCUUGACACUGAACAUUGAGCCUUGAUGUGUAGGAUAGGUGGGAGGCUUUGAAGUGUGGACGCCAGUCUGCAUGGAGCCAACCUUGAAAUACCACCCUUUAACGUUUGAUGUUCUAACCUAGGCCCAUAAACUGGGUCGGGGACCGUGUCUGGUGGGUAGUUUGACUGGGGCGGUCUCCUCCUAAAGAGUAACGGAGGAGCACGAAGGUUGGCUAAGCAUGGUCGGACAUCAUGCGGUUAGUGCAAAGGCAUAAGCCAGCUUGACUGCGAGAGUGACGGCUCGAGCAGGUACGAAAGUAGGUCUUAGUGAUCCGGUGGUUCUGAAUGGAAGGGCCAUCGCUCAACGGAUAAAAGGUACUCCGGGGAUAACAGGCUGAUACCGCCCAAGAGUUCAUAUCGACGGCGGUGUUUGGCACCUCGAUGUCGGCUCAUCACAUCCUGGGGCUGAAGUAGGUCCCAAGGGUAUGGCUGUUCGCCAUUUAAAGUGGUACGCGAGCUGGGUUUAGAACGUCGUGAGACAGUUCGGUCCCUAUCUGCCGUGGGCGUUGGAAGAUUGAGAGGGGUUGCUCCUAGUACGAGAGGACCGGAGUGAACGCACCACUGGUGUUCGGGUUGUCAUGCCAAUGGCAUUGCCCGGUAGCUAAGUGCGGAAGAGAUAACCGCUGAAAGCAUCUAAGCGGGAAACUUGCCUCGAGAUGAGUCUUCCCUGUCACUUUAAGUGACCUAAAGGAACGUUUAAGACUAAGACGUUGAUAGGCUGGGUGUGUAAGCGUAGCGAUACGUUGAGCUAACCAGUACUAAUGAACCGUGAGGCUUAACCUG
rnacentral:rRNA from 1 species